CCAGAGAGGAGGUGGAGCGUUGCCAAAGUCUGGCAGGACCGUAGGGCUUUAGGGCCUGGAAAACACCACUAAGACCUAAGGAGACCGGGUCUAGGUGGGACGGGAAACUUCACGGAAGUCACAGGAACCAUGCAGAGCGGUUGUGCUGACAUUCAGUGACACGGCUGUGGACUUCUAACAGGAGGAGAGGGAAUUCCUAUAUCUUGCUCAGAGGACUUUGCACAGAGGCCUGAUGCUGGAGAAUUACAGCUGUCUUGUUUUUGUUGGUGAAGUGAAUUUUCAGUGAACUGAAAAGAAGUUUCUUGAAAAAGAGAGAAGACUGUUUAUGUGUUUCCCAGAAAGGAAACUCACAGAAGGAGAGAGAUGGCUUCGGUUCAGGAUCCAUUGACAUUCAAGGAUGUGUCCAUAGACUUCUCCCAGGAGGAGUGGGAAUGCCUAGACUCUACUCAGAGGGCUUUGUACAGGGAGUUGAUGUUGGAGAACUACAGCAAUCUGGUGUCUAUAGGU